UACGAAGGGGGCUAGCGUUAAUCGGAAUUACUGGGCGUAAAGCGUGCGCAGGCGGCUUUGCAAGACAGAUGUGAAAUCCCCGGGCUCAACCUGGGAACUGCAUUUGUGACUGCAAGGCUAGAGUACGGCAGAGGGGGAUGGAAUUCCGCGUGUAGCAGUGAAAUGCGUAGAUAUGCGGAGGAACACCAAUGGCGAAGGCAAUCCCCUGGGCCUGUACUGACGCUCAUGCACGAAAGCGUGGGGAGCAAACAGG
rnacentral:rRNA from 1 species